rnacentral:rRNA from 1 species
GUCGAACGAGAACGGAUUAUAGCUUGCUAUAAUUGUCAGCUAAGUGGCGCACGGGUGAGUAAUGUAUAGGUAAUAUGCCUCUUACUAAGGGAUAACAAUUGGAAACGAUUGCUAAUACCUUAUACUCCUUGUUAACUUAAGUUAAUAAGGGAAAGAUUUAUUGGUAAGAGAUUAGCCUGUAUUGUAUCAGUUAGUUGGUGGGGUAAUGGCUUACCAAGACUAUGACACAUAACUGGUUUGAGAGGAUGAUCAGUCACACUGGAACUGAGACACGGUCCAGACUCCUACGGGAGGCAGCAGUGGGGAAUAUUGCACAAUGGACGAAAGUCUGAUGCAGCAACGCCGCGUGGAGGAUGACACAUUUCGGUGCGUAAACUCCUUUUAUAUGAGAAGAUAAUGACGGUAUUAUAUGAAUAAGCACCGGCUAACUCCGUGCCAGCAGCCGCGGUAAUACGGGGGGUGCAAGCGUUACUCGGAAUCACUGGGCGUAAAGAGCAUGUAGGCGGAUUAAUAAGUUUGAAGUGAAAUCCUAUAGCUUAACUAUAGAACUGCUAUGAAAACUGUUAAUCUAGAAUGUGGGAGAGGUAGAUGGAAUUUCUGGUGUAGGGGUAAAAUCCGUAGAGAUCAGAAGGAAUACCGAUUGCGAAGGCGAUCUACUGGAACGUUAUUGACGCUGAGAUGCGAAAGCGU